UGGCUGAGCGGUAAAGCGCUGGACUUCCAAACCGGGAACCGGGGUUCGAAUCCUGG
rnacentral:tRNA from 1 species